rnacentral:tRNA from 1 species
GGGCGUAUAGCUCAGCGGGAGAGCACUUCGUUGACAUCGUAGGGGUCACUGGUUCGAUCCCAGUUAUACCCACCA